AUUCUGCCCCACGGGGAAGGAUGAGAAGCUUCGACCAAGGUUCGACUCGAGCGAAGCGAGAGAACGUUGCCGCAGGCAACGGCCCGAAGGGCGAGGAGCGAUAGCGACGAGUUAUCCUUCCCCCACCACCA
rnacentral:sRNA from 1 species